AGAACGAACGCUGGCGGCAUGCCUAACACAUGCAAGUCGAACGCUCUUGGGAUUUCGGUCUCAAGGGAGUGGCGCACGGGUGAGUAGCGCGUGGGAACCUGCCCUGUUGUGGGGGAUAACCGAGGGAAACUUCGGCUAAUACCGCAUACGCCCGGGGGAAACUCCGGGGAAAGAUUUAUCGCAGCAGGAGGGGCCCGCGUCGGAUUAGGUAGUUGGUGGGGUAACGGCCCACCAAGCCUGUGAUCCGUAGCUGGUCUGAGAGGAUGAUCAGCCACACUGGGACUGAGACACGGCCCAGACUCCUACGGGAGGCAGCAGUGGGGAAUAUUGGACAAUGGGCGCAAGCCUGAUCCAGCAAUGCCGCGUGAGUGAUGAAGGCCUUCGGGUUGUAAAGCUCUUUCGCACGCGACGAUGAUGACGGUAGCGUGAGAAGAAGCCCCGGCUAACUUCGUGCCAGCAGCCGCGGUAAU
rnacentral:rRNA from 1 species